rnacentral:rRNA from 1 species
ACGUAGCUGCAGUCGACGAUUCCUACGGGAGGCAGCAGUGGGGGAUAUUGCGCAAUGGGCGAAAGCCUGACGCAGCGACGUCGCGUGGGUGAUGAAGGCCCUCGGGUCGUAAAGCCCUGUCGAGGGGGAAGAAACGGUCGAGACCCAAUACGUCUCGACCUUGACGGUACCCCUAAAGGAAGCACCGGCUAACUCCGUGCCAGCAGCCGCGGUAAUACGGAGGGUGCGAGCGUUGUUCGGAAUCACUGGGCGUAAAGCGCGUGCAGGCGGCUCGGUAAGUCUGGUGUGAAAGCCCGGGGCUCAACCCCGGAAGUGCACUGGAUACUGCCGAGCUCGAGUCCCGGAGAGGAGGGUGGAAUUCCUGGUGUAGCGGUGAAAUGCGUAGAUAUCAGGAGGAACACCGGCGGCGAAGGCGGCCCUCUGGACGGUGACUGACGCUGAGACGCGAAAGCGUGGGGAGCGAACAGGAUUAGAUACCCUGGUAGUCCACGCUGUAAACGAUGAUGACUCGAUGUUGGCGAUAUACCGUCAGCGUCCUAGCGAAAGCGUUAAGUCAUCCACCUGGGGAGUACGCUGGCAACAGUGAAACUCAAAGGAAUUGACGG